UUCUAAAAUGUUGAGAGGGUGGGGGAGCCUAGUGAAUAAAGGGUUUGCUUGCCACGUGAAAGACCGGGUUCGAUUCCCCACAUGGGUAUAAUGUGUGAAGCCCAUUUCUCGUGUCACCCGCCAUAAUAUUGCUGGAAUAUUGCUAAA